UACCAUUCCACUGACUUCAUGUCGCCGAAUUGUGUUGCAAACAGCUGAAAAUGGUUCACAGAAUUGCUGUGUCUAUAAACUCCUGCGUUCCUAUAUUGCAAAGAAAUAUGGUUUGAGUUUUGCUUCCACAUACAUCAGAGAAGAAUUUGGCAAGAAAACUUCAGCUCCUUACUGCCUUUGGACAGACCCAGACAUGGAGCUCAUAAAAGACGACCCCCAACAGGAAAGAGAAUCUUCAGUAUCAUCCUUCAGCAGAUUCUGGGAGUGAGGUGAAGACCACCAAAAGUUGAAUUUGGAGAUAAGCUGUGAGGCUUUUGCGAGCUUUUUUACUGAUAAGAUCCUGCUUCUCCGCUGCGACUUACCAGCCACAGUUGAUACGAAUGCUGCUGCGGAGAUGAGUGUACCCCUUACUAUGGCCUUCAUAGCAUCCCAUAUAAUACCUUGGUUAACCUCACCAG